rnacentral:rRNA from 1 species
CUCAACCUCUUUCGCUCUCGCCUGGUUUCCCACUGAAGCUAUGUAGGGUUGAGCCUUGCCAGUACCUGUAUGGGAGACCUCCUGGGGAAAACUAAGGUCGCUGCUGAAA